UAACAGAGUUUACUUCGGGUAAUGACGUUAGGAAAGCGAGCGGCGGGAUGGGUGAGGUAACGAACGUGGGGAAACCUGCCCCCACUAGUCUGGGAUACCACUUGGAAACAGGUGCUAAUACCGGAUAAGAAAGCAGAUCGCAUGAUCAGCUUUUAAAAAGGCGGCGUAAGCUGUCGCUAUGGGAUGGCCCGCGGUGCAUUAGCUAGUUGGUAAGGUAAAGGCUUACCAAGGCGAUGAUGCAUAGCCGAGUUGAGAGACUGAUCGGCCACAUUGGGACUGAGACACGGCCCAAACUCCUACGGGAGGCAGCAGUAGGGAAUCUUCCACAAUGGACGCAAGUCUGAUGGAACAACGCCGCGUGAGUGAAGAAGGUUUUCGGAUCGUAAAGCUCUGUUGUUGGUGAAGAAGGAUAGAGGUAGUAACUGGCCUUUAUUUGACGGUAAUCAACCAGAAAGUCACGGCUAACUACGUGCCAGCAGCCGCGGUAAAU
rnacentral:rRNA from 1 species